CACAGAAUUUGAGAGUUGGCUCUUCUAAGU
rnacentral:piRNA from 1 species